UCAUUUGCUUAGAUUGGUACAGAACAGGAUCCCACAGAGAGAAUGUGUUCCUCCUAUAGCCCAGUUUUCCUUGACUUCCUACCGUUAGCUCCCUGAGAAUCCAUGGAAGUCCUGCUAACUAGUCUGGCUGCUUCCCUGCUGUGUGCUGAACCUUGUGCCUUGGGAAAAAAUUGCUUCCCAGGAUGAGGGCGGAAAAGAUGAAAUCAUUGCUUUGCCUGUGUGUUUGAGUUUUUAGAGAAGACUUUCACAGUAAAGAAGAGUGUAUUUUUAGAAUUAUCAUGUUCUGUUUUGACAUUGCAAAUGUUCAUUUUAAACUGUAUUUAGUGAAGGUUUGAUGACCCACAUAGGGAAACCAGUUUUAAAUGAUCACCUUUCAUCCUUGGCUCAUCACAAUACCUCCAACAUUGACAAUGGUAAUUGUAGCUACACCUGGCAAGGGCAGUUGACUGGAGAAAUUUCAUGUCUCUAGCAUAGCCUGAGCAUGGCAUGCUGAUGAAGCACAGGUCCUCUCACAAGGACCUGGAUCUUGCAACAUGUCCUCUGUGGGCAGGGAGUGGGAUGGAGUGGUGUGACUGCUCUAAUGUCUGUAUGGUGUACAGACAGAAAUCAUGUUCGUAUUUCCUGAAACGACACUAAGGAAAGGGGAUCUUGUUGUAUCCUUUGCAGGUGUGUAGGACAAUGGGGGGGCUAGAGUCUGAUGAAAUCGUAAGAGUUUUUGGUAAUGUUGUUACUUUCCUCCUUUAUGCUUUCACUUCUGGUGUCCCAAAGUCAAGAUUAGGGGCAGUCAAGUAGAGCCAAUUAGAGUACUGGUACUGGAGUCCAGGUUGAUGAAGACAUGGCUUCGUCUGCUAGUGGGAGACUGGGAAAUUACUAUGUGUCACUAAAAAUGCUCUCAGAUAGAAAUUAUAAAUUCAUCCACAUUCAUGUGCCUAGUCAGCAAAGGCUUAUUGAUUGAUUGAAGGAUAACCAUAGAGCCUAGCAGGACUCUAGUAGGGGAAAGUGGUACUUUCACAGUUUUACAUGCCUAUGAAUCCUCUGGGACUUUUGCUGAAAUGCAGAUUUCCAUUCUGGGUCUAGAGUUGGGAGGGGCUUGAGACUAUAUGUCUAACAAGCUAUCCUGUGAUGCUGGACCACACUGUGGGUACUGAUGGAUACCAAUGGGCAAGGAUGGAGUGAAGCAGAGUUUCUCAAAGAAAUGAAUGUGUGCUUACAGAGUCUGCAUGCCAAUUGCUGCCCAACUAACCAGGCAAAAGCAAUCUACCUGCUUCAUGGUUAAUUUUCAGAUAUGUAGAUUUCUCUGACAAGACAUUUUCCUCCUAUAACCCUGCUCUUAGUUGUCUACUUUAAAACCCACUUUUGUAAAUAAUGGAAUUUGCAUUUAAGAAAGCAGACUGAAGAGACUGAAAAUAUGUCUUCUACCUUUUCUCACAAAUCUUGCCGGAAUAAAUGAGGGAGAUGUAAAGAAAAAGAUGGAUAUCACCUUUG
rnacentral:lncRNA from 1 species